rnacentral:rRNA from 1 species
GACGAACGCUGGCGGCGUGCUUAACACAUGCAAGUCGAACGGAAAGGCCCCCUUGUGGGGUACUCGAGUGGCGAACGGGUGAGUAACACGUGAGUAACCUACCCUUGACUUUGGGAUAACUUCAGGAAACUGGGGCUAAUACCGGAUAGGAGCUCCUGCUGCAUGGUGGGGGUUGGAAAGUUUCGGCGGUUGGGGAUGGGCUCGCGGCUUAUCAGCUUGUUGGUGGGGUAGUGGCUCACCAAGGCUUUGACGCGUAGCCGGCCUGAGAGGGUGACCGGCCACACUGGAACGGAGGAGCGGUCGAGACGACUACGGGAGGCAGCAGUAGGGAAGCUUCCGCAAGGGGCGGAAGCGUGACGGAGCAACGCCGCGUGAGUGAUGAAGGUCUUCGGAUCGUAAAACUCUGUGAUGAGGGAAGAACAAAUGUGUAAGUAACUAUGCACGUCUGGACGGUACCUAAUCAGAAAGCCACGGCUAACUACGUG